AGGCUAGGAAAAGUGGGAAGCAAAGUGCAAAGGAGUGAAGCCUCUCAGCAUCGAGUCGCUGCAAACCUCCCUGCUUUCUCCCACUCUUUGAUCUGUGCUGGGGCCGGCAGGGAAGCAGCCGUGCUGAGAUGACCUCAAGCUCUCUAACAUCUUUCAGUUAGGUUUAUUCUUUCCCUUAAAUCAUUUACUAGGUUGGACCAUGUGCCUCCCAGUCCUUUCCCAUACAUGCACACACACACACAGGGCUGGACAUUUAAUCCCCGCGAGCUUACUCACAACAUGGGCAUUCAGAGGCCAAGAACUUGCAGUAUUUUUCUUGGCCAUGUAAGGGCUUGGGACUCCAUGCCCAGAGACUGUCAUGCAGCUGCCUAAUGAAAAACAGGAAAGCAUUCCCGAGAAACCUCCGCACCGCAGGGAAGCAGCACCCAGCAUCAUCAGCACUUCGUACCAUUCACCCCACCUGCCGGUGUUCCUGCACGUUACUCAUCCUGCUGGCACCAGCCAAAGCCCAUCUGAUCUGAAGCAGCAGCAGGACAAGGAUAGCCGUGGAUGUGACCCGUGGGAGGCCAAGCCUGCAGCCCUCUCGUCUUCUCCAAGAGCACGGCCCCCUGGUUUCAGCAGGGUGAACUACGAAGGAGCACUUUGAACUCUGCUGUGAUCCCUGAGCUACGACAGCGCUAACAUUGCCAACAAAGUGAAAG